rnacentral:tRNA from 1 species
GUUUUAAUAGUUUAAAAAUAAAACAUUGGUCUUGUAAAUCAAAAAUAAAUUUAACUUUUUUAAAACU